rnacentral:tRNA from 1 species
AUUUAAAUAAUUUAAAAAUAAGUAAAAUUGAUUUGUGGAAUCAAAAAUAUGAAAUUUCAUUUUAAAUC